UGCAAUCUCUAUGGUAACCACAUUUCCCAGUUGACUACUACCGGUAAUAAAAUCAAAUGGAUUCAGUGCUCACAACUCUUCAGUCUUUGGGCUACUUUCCAUUCUUGAAUUUUUAGCUGAAUUCAUCUCUUUGGCUGGAUUUUGUGAAUCGGGCAGCCAUUAGAACCAAAACAGUUCUGAGGAGCUCCCAGGCUGCAAUGUGGUGCGAAAUGUUUUAUGGACAGAAAAUGGAAAUGAGGUGCAGAAAUUGGAGCCUUUCACCAGUGUAACCAUCCCAAAUUUGCAUCUUGUCUGAUGCUAACUGAGGAAGAAGGGCACCUGGAGUUUGACCAGCAGGAACAAAACAUGUUAAAAUUGUUGCAGAAGAUGAUGAGGACUUCACAAGUGUGGCAUCUCAUGUAUUCUAAAGUAUAUGGUGACCAUCUAAGGAAGUUGGUUUGAAUGUGCAGGUCUAGCAAAGAACAUGCCCUGGAUAUAAAACCUAGGAAUCACCAUCUGAUCGAAGAUGGAGAUGAAUGACUUCACCCUAGGGCAAGAAGGACUUAAGAAGAAUAGGAAGGAUGGCAGGAAUGGAGGAAAACAUUUUGGAUGGAAAGAUGAGACACUGAAACAAUUUGAAGAUUGGAAGGUGAGAGUCUGAGGUCCAAAGCUUUACACCAGUUGUUGAAGAACCUUGAUCACAGGCCAGCCAGGACCUCAAAGGCUCAAGAGAAAUGAUGACAAGGUUUGCUUGGCUUAUUUA
ensembl:lncRNA NRG1-IT1 NRG1 intronic transcript 1